rnacentral:rRNA from 1 species
UACAGAGGGGCAAGCGUUAUUCGGAAUUAUUGGGCGUAAAGGGCGCGUAGGCGGCCUGGCAAGUGGAAGGUGAAAUCCCUCGGCUUAACCGAGGAACUGCCCUCCAAACUGCUUGGCUUGAGACCGGGAGAGGUGAGUGGAAUUCCCAGUGUAGCGGUGAAAUGCGUAGAUAUUGGGAGGAACACCAGUGGCGAAGGCGGCUCACUGGACCGGUACUGACGCUGAGGCGCGAAAGCUAGGG